CACCCAGCAUCUCGACCCCACACACAGUCACGGUCCUCCCACCCAGGAAAGGAGGCCUGUGUGGGCAGAGGACUAGACGCAGGGUGGAGAGCCCUGGAACCGCCGACCUGCGACUUCAUUCUCCGCUGCGCUAUUGUGUAAGAAUUUGGAAAGCGAGAAAAAUUCAAGCCAUAGGUUGUGCAAUCCUAGAAUAGAAUGAAGCAAAACGUUGACUAAGUUACUUUCGGGAAUAGGGAAGUGGGGCCACUCGGGAGACAGUGCUGACUUGGUGCCUCCCGGAUCUGCGGGAACACACAGCUCGAGGUUGGGUCUAGACUGCUUGGCUCCUAGACACAGACAGGAUUGGCGACAAAUGGAAUGGAUGCACCGUACCGGGUCCAGGCAAUUCUGCUAACCCUGAGAACUGUCAGGAAGAAAAUUCAAGCAACAGAAUUAUACACACGCACCCCACACACCUAAACAGUAUACCGCUGUGAGUUUCUCUGUAUAGCUCUGGCUACCAUGGAAUGAAUCUUCAUCAUUUAAAACAUGGCUAUAAUAAACAAGAGCCACAUUCUAUAAGAAGAGGAAGAGAAACCAGGGAAACAGACUUCAAGCCAAGGAGAAUGAGCUUCAUCAACUGUGAGCAGUUUACAAAUACCAUUAGUUUUGCAUUUCUCUACCUAUUGGCCUAGUGAAGAUUACUCAGUUUCAAUAAAUACAUUAUUCAUACAUGGUAA